GCAGCCCGGCAGCCACUACACACGGACCCGUGACGUCGGGCGUAGCGCGGCGCACGUCACGGCCGCUCGCUCGUGCGCGCGCACCCCUCCGCCCGGCGGUAGCGGAACCCGCCGCGGGCGCGCGCCCGGCCCAGGGGAGUGGGUCGGCGCCUGCGCAGAGGCCCGCCACGCCCACACACAGGCCACCGCCCCCACCGGCCGGACGGCGCGGGGAUUCCCAGUCCUGGCUCCGCCCCGGCCUCGGCCCCGCCCCCGCCCCUGCCCCGGGGCAGCCUGUGCUGUUCCGUGUGCGCGGCGCAUACGCACCUGGGUUGUCUCGAGCCUGCGGUAGUGGCCAGAUCCCAGACAUCCGAGUAGAUCCCGUGAAAAGCUUCUUCUUGGUUUCUUCGUACAUUCUGGAUCCACCCCUUUCAUGCAUAUUCCAGACCACAUUUCCACUGGAGCAGUUGAAAUGAGAGAGAUGGGAAUGGGACUCACCCGAACCAGAGGAAUUUUUAUUACAGACCCAUUAACAGAGGUGUCAAAGUCACAGGAACAAGGAUGUGCACCUCAGAAACACAGAGGUCAGUGGAAAAUCAGUUUGCUUCUAUUUGUUUAAAAAAUGGGGGACUUAUGCAUAAAUCUAAGACCUUCUUGAAUCUAACAUUCUAAGACCUGUAUGCCACAGAAAGGAGGGUCUCAGAACGCCGGAGGAUAGUAUUUAAAUCUUAAAUAUCUAUAUUGUUCUCCACAGUUACUGGGUCACCACAUAGCAGGCAUUCAAUAAAAACGUGUUUGUUUACUAAGUAA
rnacentral:lncRNA from 1 species